CCUACGGGAGGCUGCAGUGGGGAAUAUUGGGCAAUGGAGGAAACUCUGACCCAGCAACGCCGCGUGAAUGAUGAAGGUCUUCGGAUUGUAAAGUUCUUUUCUAAGGGAAGAAGAAAGUGACGGUACCUUAGGAAUAAGCCUCGGCUAACUACGUGCCAGCAGCCGCGGUAAUACGUAGGAGGCGAGCGUUAUCCGGAAUGACUGGGCGUAAAGGGUGCGUAGGUGGUUUGGCAAGUUAGUAGCGUAACUCCAAGGCUCAACCUUGGAACUACUACUAAAACUGUUGGACUUGAGUGCAGGAGGGGCAACCGGAAUUCCUAGUGUAGCGGUGGAAUGCGUAGAUAUUAGGAGGAACACCAGUGGCGAAGGCGGGUUGCUGGACUGUAACUGACACUGAGGCACGAAAGCGUGGGGAGCAAACAGGAUUAGAUACCCGAGUAGUC
rnacentral:rRNA from 1 species